GCCUGGGUGGCUCAGUCGGUUAAGCGUCUGACUUUGGCUCAGGUCAUGAUCUCGCGGUCUGUGAGUUCGAGCCCCGCGUCGGGCU
rnacentral:tRNA from 1 species